rnacentral:rRNA from 1 species
GUGGGGAAUUUUGGACAAUGGGCGAAAGCCUGAUCCAGCAAUGCCGCGUGCAGGAUGAAGGCGCUACGCGUUGUAAACUGCUUUUAACCGGGAAGAAACCCCAGGACGUGUCCUGGGUUGACGGUACCGGAGGAAUAAGCACCGGCUAACUUCGUGCCAGCAGCCGCGGUAAUACGAAGGGUGCAAGCGUUAUCCGGAUUCAUUGGGAUUAAAGGGUGCGUAGGCGGAGCGUUAAGUCAGUGGUGAAAUCCUGCAGCUUAACUGUAGACUUGCCAUUGAUACUGGCGCUCUUGAGUGCGCUUGAAGUGGGCGGAAUGUGCCGUGUAGCGGUGAAAUGCUUAGAUAUGGCACAGAACACCAAUUGCGAAGGCAGCUCACUAAGGCGAUACUGACGCUGAGGCACGAAAGCGUGGGGAUCGAACAGGAUUAGAAACCCCGGUAGUCC